AGUGAACGCUGGCGGUAGGCCUAACACAUGCAAGUCGAACGGCAGCACAGUAAGAGCUUGCUCUUACGGGUGGCGAGUGGCGGACGGGUGAGGAAUACAUCGGAAUCUACUUUUUCGUGGGGGAUAACGUAGGGAAACUUACGCUAAUACCGCAUACGACCUACGGGUGAAAGCAGGGGAUCUUCGGACCUUGCGCGAUUGGAUGAGCCGAUGUCGGAUUAGCUAGUUGGCGGGGUAAAGGCCCACCAAGGCGACGAUCCGUAGCUGGUCUGAGAGGAUGAUCAGCCACACUGGAACUGAGACACGGUCCAGACUCCUACGGGAGGCAGCAGUGGGGAAUAUUGGACAAUGGGCGCAAGCCUGAUCCAGCCAUACCGCGUGGGUGAAGAAGGCCUUCGGGUUGUAAAGCCCUUUUGUUGGGAAAGAAAAGCAGCAGGUUAAGACCCCGCUGUUCUGACGGUACCCAAAGAAUAAGCACCGGCUAACUUCGU
rnacentral:rRNA from 1 species